rnacentral:lncRNA from 1 species
UAUAAAUUCUCCUCUUCGUUCUUCUCCAAAUAUCAUCUAGGGUUAGCUCCCAAUUCUCCAGUCGCCAUCGAUUCAGUGGCCGCCAUUGAUACCAUACCGCCGGUAUUGUAUAAUUUGCUUAGUUUUAGUUUUCAUAUAGUAACUGUAUUCUGUUUACUUUGCACUUCGCAAUCAUAUAAGCUUCGCUAAAUUCUCAAGUUAGUGCAGUCUUACAGCGUUAGUGCGUAUAGGAAAAGCUGAAUUUAUCAGCGGCGGCCAGACAACCGUUGAGAUGAAUCCACAGAUGGGUUUCGUUUUUGCUCCUGUCUACUAAUUUCUUCUCACAUUUUGCUGUUAUUAUAUCUGUAGUUUUUUCAAUUUGAUGGUACAAUUUGGAAAUUGGGGCGAGUUAUCAGUACUCGUAUAACCCAAAGUAUCUAUAUCAUCAAGCUGUCUUUGUUGAUGUAGCAUUUGAUUUUUUCUGUUUUCCUUCGGGAAGAUGGGAGGAUUCUAUGUUGUAAUCCGAAGAUGGAGAUCUCAUAUCCUAUAGCCUUGUAGAGCGGAAUCUCUGCUAUUACUAUUUGGGAUUGACCAUGAGAAAUACAUUCAAUUCAACUUAAUUUUCAUAUCUUCAUGCCUGUGAUGAAAUCUAUUAUAAAGAACACCAUCUUUCGGGACUGAAUGGCCCUUAAGGCCUUGUUGUCAAUUCUGCAAUUCUGAGGCUUUUAUAUGUUAUAGUUUUGCUUUGCUUGAACUAUGUGUAAACUGCUUUGUGAUUUGAGAUGGAAGUGAUGAAUAUUUCCCCAGAUGAUCGAAGCUGAAAUUACUGAGCGCUUUUCAUGUAUUUUCUCCUUAUUAGGAGAAAAUCCAAGCCAGAUAUUCUGAUCCAUCUCCAAUUUUCUUCCAUUUUUUCUCUUAAAUCUUCAAAAAAAUUGAUUAUUCAGUGUUUAUUAUGAUUUUUCUGAUUGAUUUGAAUAUGGAUUUGAUGAAUAUUUCCCCAGAUGAUCGAAGCUGAAAUAACUGAGCGCUUUAUAAUGCAUUUUCUCCUCUUUAGGGGAAAAUCCAAGCCAGAUAUUCUGAUCCAUAUGUAUUAAUUUCAAUUGUUUUCUAUGUUUUGAUUGUUCAUUUGUUAGUUGAAUUUGUUGUAUGGAGUUGAUGAUUAUUUCCCCAGAUGAUCGAAGCUGAAAUUACUGAGCGCUUUUUCAUGUAUUUUCUCCGUUCAGGGGAAAAUUCAAGCCAGAUAUUCUGAUCCAUAUACUUACAAUAUGAUUAUUUUUGUUGAAAUGCGUCGAUAUACUGAUUACCAUCGAUGUUUAUAUACAAUGAUCGCUGUGUAUGAGCUGACGCGAUAUGUAUAUUCCAUUUCUGCUUCAUAAUUUUUUCAUGUUAGCUCUUUAAAGUGCUGUUUGAAUCAGAUUUGGAGAUAUUUUUUAUAAAGCUAUUGCCUUUUUGUUUGUUCAAUUGAUGGAAGUGAUGAUUAUUUCCCCAGAUGAUCGAAGCUGAAAUUACUGAGCGCUUUUAUGUAUUUUCUCCUUAUAUGGGAAAAUCCAAGCCAGAUAUUCUGAUCCGUCUCUGUUUAUAUGAUAAAAAUUUGGUCUUUUUGUAUGAUGAACUGAUUUGAUUGAUAAUUGUUUGUUUUGUAUGUAUGUAUAUGAUUAUUAUGUCCCCAGAUGAUCGAAGCUGAAAUUACUGAGCUCUUUUUCAUGUAUGAUCUCUGUUCAGUCGGCGACAAUGCGAAGCAAUUUCAGGGAGCAGAACAAGGUGGUUGAGGGAAUUGUUGAAAUUUUGGAACAUCAACUUUUCUUCAUGUUUUCAGUUAUAGUAUAGACAUUUUGUGAACUAUGUAAUACUUGUUUAAACUAAAUAAUAUGAUGUGAUGCUUCACAAUACAAUAUACAUAUAUUUCGAUGGCUAUCUAAUGAAGUUCAAAAUUUUUUAUCCUAUAUCAAGAAGUGCAUCGUCUCAUAGUUCAUAUGUAGAGAAAGGUCUGUUUAUAUCUCAUUUAAAUCUUCAAUAAUUUGGUGAUGGGAGAUAUGGGUAAUAACUGGAGCUGAACUAACUUUUGAUCAACAAUUAUUUGUGUAAAGUGAUUGUAGAGUUAAGUUCAUCUCACCCAUAACAAAGUACCGUUCAUUGCAAAGCAUGAAAACAUUGAUAGCAGAUAUUGGC